GACGAACGCUGGCGGCGUGCUUAACACAUGCAAGUCGAACGAUGAAGCUAGAGCUUGCUCUGGUGGAUUAGUGGCGAACGGGUGAGUAACACGUGAGUAACCUGCCCCGAACUCUGGGAUAACUGCUGGAAACGGUAGCUAAUACCGGAUAUGACCAAUGAAGGCAUCUUCUGUUGGUGGAAAGAAUUUCGGUUCGGGAUGGACUCGCGGCCUAUCAGCUUGUUGGUGAGGUAACGGCUCACCAAGGCGACGACGGGUAGCCGGCCUGGGAGGGGGCUCGGCCACACUGGGACUGAGACACGGCCCAGACGCCUACGGGAGGCAGCAGUGGGGAAUAUUGCACAAUGGGCGCAAGCCUGAUGCAGCAACGCCGCGUGAGGGAUGACGGCCUUCGGGUUGUAAACCUCUUUUAGUAGGGAAGAAGCGAAAGUGACGGUACCUGCAGAAAAAGCACCGGCUAACUACGUGCCAGCCGCCGCGGUAA
rnacentral:rRNA from 1 species